GACGAACUGCGUAAUUGGGACUAAGUCGUAACGAGGUAACCGUAGGUGAACCUGCAGAAGGAUCA
rnacentral:rRNA from 1 species